ACACGACCGUACCGCAAACCGACACUGGUGCGCGAGAUGAGUAUUCUAAGGCGCUUGAGAGAACUCAGGAGAAGGAACUCGGCAAAUUGACACCGUAACUUCGGAAGAAGGUGUGCCUUUAGUAGGUGAACCAUUUACUUGGGGAGCCCAAUGAGGCUGCAAAAAAUCGGUGGCUGCAACUGUUUAUUAAAAACACAGCACUCUGCUAAGACGAAAGUCGACGUAUAGGGUGUGACGCCUGCCCGGUGCUGGAAGAUUAAAUGAUGGGGUGCAAGCUCUUGAUUGAAGUCCCAGUAAACGGCGGCCGUAACAAUAACGGUCCUAAGGUAGCGAAAUUCCUUGUCGGGUAAGUUCCGACCUGCACGAAUGGCGUAAUGAUGGCCACACUGUCUCCUCCUGAGACUCAGCGAAGUUGAAAUGUUUGUGAUGAUGCAAUCUCCCCGCGGAAAGACGGAAAGACCCCAUGAACCUUUACUGUAGCUUUGUAUUGGACUUUGAACAGAUCUGUGUAGGAUAGGUGGGAGGCUUUGAAGUGUGGUCGCUAGAUCGCAUGGAGCCAACGUUGAAAUACCACCCUGGUGUGUUUGAGGUUCUAACCUAGGUCCAUUAUCUGGAUCGGGGACAGUGCAUGGUAGGCAGUUUGACUGGGGCGGUCUCCUCCCAAAGUGUAACGGAGGAGUUCGAAGGUACGCUAGGUACGGUCGGACAUCGUGCUAAUAGUGCAAUGGCAUAAGCGUGCUUAACUGCGAGACUGACAAGUCGAGCAGAUGCGAAAGCAGGACAUAGUGAUCCGGUGGUUCUGUAUGGAAGGGCCAUCGCUCAACGGAUAAAAGGUACUCUGGGGAUAACAGGCUGAUACCGCCCAAGAGUUCAUAUCGACGGCGGUGUUUGGCACCUCGAUGUCGGCUCAUCUCAUCCUGGGGCUGUAGCCGGUCCCAAGGGUAUGGCUGUUCGCCAUUUAAAGAGGUACGUGAGCUGGGUUUAAAACGUCGUGAGACAGUUUGGUCCCUAUCUUCCGUGGGCGCUGCAGAUUUGAGGAAGCCUGCUCCUAGUACGAGAGGACCGGAGUGGACGAACCUCUGGUGUAUCGGUUGUCACGCCAGUGGCAUUGCCGAGUAGCUAAGUUCGGAAGAGAUAACCGCUGAAAGCAUCUAAGCGGGAAACUCGUUUCAAGAUUAGAUCUGCCGGGGCCUUGAGCCCCCUAAAGAGUCGUUCAAGACCAGGACGUUGAUAGGUCAGGUGUGGAAGCCA
rnacentral:rRNA from 1 species